CUCUCAAGCCAUACCUGAUCUAAAUGCACCUGAUCUCAUCUGAUCACAGAAGCUAAUCAAGGAUCAGCCUGGUUAGUAUUUGGAUGGGAGAUGUCUUUGGUUAUUUGAGAAU
rnacentral:rRNA from 1 species